GGGCCCGCACAAGCGGUGGAGCAUGUGGUUUAAUUCGAUGCAACGCGAAGAACCUUACCAAGCCUUGACAUCCUCGGAACUUUCCAGAAAUGGAUUGGUGCCUUCGGGAACGCAGUGACAGGUGCUGCACGGCUGUCGUCAGCUCGUGUUGUGAAAUGUUGGGUUAAGUCCCGCAACGAGCGCAACCCCUAUUGAUAGUUACCAUCAUUAAGUUGGGUACUCUAUUGAGACUGCCGCUGACAAGGCGGAGGAAGGUGGGGACGACGUCAAGUCAUCAUGGCCCUUACGACCAGGGCUACACACGUGCUACAAUGGGUAUUACAGAGGGUUGCAAAGGUGCGAGCUGGAGCGAAACUCAGAAAGGUACUCUUAGUCCGGAUUGCAGUCUGCAACUCGACUGCAUGAAGUAGGAAUCGCUAGUAA
rnacentral:rRNA from 1 species